rnacentral:rRNA from 1 species
UACGUAGGCAGCGAGCGUUGUUCGGAAUCACUGGGCUUAAAGGGCGCGUAGGCGGUCCGAUAAGUCAGGGGUGAAAUCCUGCAGCUUAACUGCAUAAGUGCCUUUGAUACUGUCGGUCUUGAGGGAGAUAGGGGUGUGCGGAACUCACAGUGGAGCGGUGAGAUGCGUUGAUAUUGUGAGGAACGCCGGAGGCGAAAGCGGCGCACUGGAUCUCUUCUGACGCUGAGGCGCGAAAGCUAGGGGAGCAAACGGG